UUGGUCUCCCCUCCUUUUGCUCUACCUGUCUUCACAGUUUCAAAACUUCAGACCUUUAGCUUUCUAACGCCAACCUCUAUCUCUUCCAAAGACAGUUUCAAAACUUCUGACUUUCAGCUUUCUAUCGCCAACUUUUUUCUCUUUCAAAUACACUUUCAAAAAUUCAGACUUUCAGCUUUCUAACGCCAACCUCUCUCUCUCUUCCCUCCUUCAUCUCUUCUUUAGGUAUCUCCAAAUCUCAAUUGUAAAUAAAAUGAAAUGGAUAUUGUAAAAUAAUUUUCAGUUGAGGAUGUGUUGAUGGGUCUCCGUAGUUAUUGAAAAUUGAUUUGAGAAGAUUUUUUUAUUUUUUUUGGUGAAAUUAUUUCAAUAGUGUUAUCUGUCUAUUGUGAAUAUUCCAACGCAAUGGCUUAGGCUCCAGGAAAAAAAUAUGCAGGAAAUAUCAGAGAUUUGACAACCCAAAAUCCCAAUGUAAAUACCACAGACUACCUCUGGUAGUCAUCCAACAGCAUUCGACAGCCCCAAAAUCCCAGUAUAAAUACCCACAGAAAGACUCUGGUAGUCUUCUAACAUCGUUGUUUCAAUUGUUUAUUAAUGGAUUGCCUACAAUGUAUUUGAUUGUAGUUGUCAAUUUUGAUUGUUCAUUAAUGGUCUGCCUACAAUGUGUUUGAUUAUAGUUGUCAAUAACGUUCACACUGCUCUGUUUCAAAAAAAAUCCUCUUGAAGCAACCAAGAUUUAGAAGAUGGGAAACUUCAAGUCUUGAAGGAUGGUCUUUCAAGUUAGUCAAAGGUGAUUCAAGUGGGAGGAAUUGGUGGAUGAAGGUUUAAAGAAAAGAUAUAAGAUUCUAGAAGGAGAAUGCUUGGAUCAAGAUAGUCAUAGCAUUGAGCAACUGUGAUAGUUACUGCUAUUGGCUUAUGUGUAAAUUAAAUGCCUAAAAUAGAGAUAGAUGUGGCAAUAGUGUUUAUUGAAAUUCUUGAUAGUGUCUGAUUUGCAAAAUAAAUUAGAGCAAAAAGUGGAUUUGUGUA